GCUGGUGUUGCCGUGAAAAUGUCACUGCGUGGACUUUUUUUAGUCGAGGCUGCGUUCGAGGACCCGCUGGCACCUUCCAGAAAGCCACGUCGUGUCAGCCGAGUACGUCGAGGAAGUACACUGACGGAGGACAUGGCGAUGGAGCGAAUACAAAUCUCUGUUGCCGGGGAAACACACUCUGGCAGGAGGAAAUGUAACACGCAGGCUGAUGUCAAUCUCUAAAGUCCACAUUUCACGCUGUGGAAACAUCUGCUGCAGACGUAACGAGGAGGUAGGUCUUGUUCUGGACAUUUUCAAUCUUCUCAAUAACACAGGUGUCAAACUCAAGGCCUGCGGGCCAAAUCUGUAGCCCGUCCCUUAAUUUUAAUGUGGCAGACCACAUGAUUCAUUUAUUGUUGCCUUCCAUGUCAUUUUUAAAAUGGCUCGCCACGUCAUUUAAAGUGGUACGCCACAUAAUCCUAAUGUGGCCUGCCACAUCUUAUUUUUAAUGUAGCCCACCACAUCAUUUUACGUAGUCCGCCACAUCAUUUAACGUUGCCUUCCGUGUCGUUUUAAAAGUGGCCUGCCACAUCAUUUUAUGUGGUCCCAACGCCAUUUAAUGUGGCUCACCAUGUCAUUUUUAAAGUCGCCCGCCACGUCAUUUAAAGUGGCAUACCACAUAAUCCUAAUGUGGCCUGCCACAUCCUUAUUUUAAUGUAGCCCACCACAUCACUUUAUGUGGCCCUCCACUUAAUUUAAUGUGGUUCACCAUAUAAUUUUUCAUGCGGCACGCCACAUCAUUUAACGUGGUCUGCCACAUCAAUUAAUCUGGCCCUCCACGACAUUUUUUAACGUGUCCAGUCACCUCUUUUUAAUAAGACCCGCCAAGGCGUUUUAUGUAGUCCGUUAAAUUUUUUAAUGUGGCCUGCCACGUCCUUUUUUUAAUGUAGCCCACCACAUCAUUUUACGUAGUCCGCCACGUCAUUUAAUGUUGCCUUCCGUGUCGUUUUAAAGGUGGCCUGCCACAUCGUUUUAUGUGGUCCCAACGCCAUUUAAUGUGGCUCACCAUGUCAUUUUUAAAGUCGCCUGCCACAUCAUUUAAAGUGGCAUACCACAUAAUCCUAAUGUGGCCUGCCACAUCCUUUUUUUAAUGUAGCCCACCACAUCAUUUUAUGUGGCCCCCACAUCAUUUAAUGUGGUCUGCCACAUCAAUUAAUUUGGCCCUCCACGACAUUUUUUAACGUGUGCAGCCACCUCCUUUUAAUAAGACCCGCCAAGGCGUUUUAUGUGGUCCGUUACAUUAUUCAAUGUGACCCUCUACGUCAUUUAACCUGACUCACCAUGUCAUUUUUAAAAAUGGCCCACCACAUAAUUUUAUGUGGCCCCCACGUCAUUUAAAGUGGCUCACCAUAUCAUUUUUCAUGCGGCACGCCAAUCAUUUAAGUGGCCUUCCAUGUCAUUUUUAAAGUGACCCACCUUAUCAUUUCACUUGGUCUGCCCCAUUAUUUAAAGUGGCCCCCCACCUCAUUUAAUGUGGCACGCCACAUAAUUGUAAAGGGAACAGCCAUAUUAAUGUUGUCUGCCACAUCAAUUAAUUUGGCCCUCCACGUCAUUUUUUUAACGUGUCCAGCCACCUCCUUUUAAUAAGACCCGCCAAGUCGUUUUAUGUGGCCCAACAUAUCGUUGAUGUGGCCUGUGAAAGUCUGCCAAAUGAAAAACCACUUUUGGCGAAAUAUAUUUGUUCUGUCAUUGUUGACAGAAACAUGUUACACUUAACUUUAAUAUAAUCUGAUAAUCCAAACAUUUUUAUUUAAAAAUAAAGACUAAAAUAUCAAAAGAGAGAGAGAGAGAGAGAGAGAGAGAGAGAGAGAGAGAGAGAGAGAGAGAGAGAGAGAGAGAGAGAAAGACAGAGAGAGAGAGAGAGAGAACAAGCAGUGUGUGAGAGAGAGAAGGUUCUAGAAGGGAUGAGCAAAGGGAGAGAGAUGUUCUAGAAGGGACGAGCAAAGAGAGAGAGAGAGAAAGUUCUAGAAAGGAUGAGCAAAGGGGGAAAGAAAGAGAAGGUUCUAGAAGGAAAGGGAGAGAGAGAGAGGGGGGAGAGAGAGAAAAGGUUCUAGAAAGGACGAACAAAGGUAGAUAGAAAUAGAAGGUUCUAGAAGGGAUGAGCAAAGGGAUAGAGAGAGAACGUUCUAGAAGGGACGAGCAAAGGUGAGACAGAGAGAAGGUUCUAGAAAGGACGAGCGAAGGGAGAAAGCGAGAGAAGGUUAUAGAAAGAACGAGCAAAGGGGAGAUAGAGAGAUGGUUCUAGAAGCACGAGCAAAGGGGAGAUAGAGAGAAGGUUCUAGAAGCACGAGCAAAGGGAGAGAGGGAGAGAAGGUUCUCGUAGGGACGAGAGAAGGGAGAGAGAAGGUUCUAGAAGGCACGAGCGAAGGGAGAGAGCGAGAGAAGGUUCUAAAAAGGACGAGCAAAGGGGAGACAGAAGGUUCUAGAAAGGACGAGCGAAGGGAGAGAGAGAGAAGGUUCGAGAAGGCAUGAGCGAAGGGAGAGCGCGAGAGAAGGUUCGAGAAAGGACGAGCAAAGGGAGAGAAGGUUCUCGUAGGGACGAGCGAAGGGAGAGAGAGAGAAGGUUCUAAAAAGGACGAGCAAAGGGGAGAUAGAGAGAAGGUUCUAGAAGCACGAGCAAAGGGAGAGAGGGAGAGAAGGUUCUCGUAGGGACGAGUGAAGGGAGAGAGAAGGUUCUAGAAGGCACGAGCGAAGGGAGAGAGCGAGAGAAGGUUCUAAAAAGGACGACCAAAGGGGAGACAGAAGGUUCUAGAAAGGACGAGCGAAGGGAGAGAGAGAGAAGGUUUGAGAAGGCAUGAGCGAAGGGAGAGCGCGAGAGAAGGUUCGAGAAAGGACGAGCAAAGGGAGAGAAGGUUCUCGUAGGGACGAGCGAAGGGAGAGAGAGAGAGAAGGUUCUAAAAAGGACGAGCAAAGGGGAGAUAGAGAGAAGGUUCUAGAAGCACGAGCAAAGGGAGAGAGGGAGAGAAGGUUCUCGUAGGGACGAGCGAAGGGAGAGAGAAGGUUCUAGAAGGCACGAGCGAAGGGAGAGAGCGAGAGAAGAAUCUAAAAAGGACGACCAAAGGGGAGACAGAAGGUUCUAGAAAGGACGAGCGAAGGGAGAGAGAGAGAAGGUUCGAGAAGGCACGAGCGAAGGGAGAGCGCGAGAGAAGGUUAGAGAAAGGACGAGCAAAGGGAGAGAAGGUUCUCGUAGGGACGAGCGAAGGGAGAGAGAGAGAGAAGGUUCUAAAAAGGACGAGCAAAGGGGAGACAGAGAGAAGGUUCUAGAAAGGACGAGCGAAGGGAGAGAGAGAGAAGGUUCGAGAAGGCACGAGCGAAGGGAGAGCGCGAGAGAAGGUUCUAGAAAGGACGAGCAUAGGGGAGACAGAGAGAAGGUUCUAGAAGCACGAGCAAAGGAAGAGAGAGAGAGAAGGUUUUAGUAGGGCCGAGCAAAGGGAGAGCGAGAGAGAGAGAGAAGGUUCUAGAAGGGACGAGCCAGGUAGAACCAGGACGUCCGUGAUGUUUGGGUCCCUUGUUAGGCCCUCUGCUAGCGAUGAGGCGAGGAGAGGCUAACAGCCACACGGAAGCAGAGAGAAUUAAACGCUGCGUCACGCUCAGGAAGAAGAAGAAGAAGAAGAAGAGCGUGAGCGUGCACGAGAGCGUGCACGAGGGCGUGUGUGUGUGUGUGUGUGUGUGUGCGCUCCCUGGGUGUUUGUGCUGCAAGUGUCGCUAAUAGCAGCACUUGGAAAAAACAGCAGCAGAGACGCAGAGAGAGAGAGGUGCAGGAGGGAGCAGGGCGAGCGACUCACACACAAGAGAGAGAGAGAUUCUUUUCUAUUUUUUUUAUUUAUUUUUUUGGUUGCUACGUCACUUUUUCAUGUGCGGACAGAAAAUAACAAGUCAUGGAGUUUUUCCUCCUCAAGUGGACAUCUUCUUCCUGCUUGGUACUUCCUUUGCUCUUCCUGUCACUCCAGCUAUUACACAAGAACGUGUGUGUGUGUGUGUGUGUGUGUGUGUGUGUGUGUGUGUGUGUGUGUGUGUGUGUGUGUGUGUGUGUGUCUGUGUGUCUGUGUCCAACAUGGAUGCCAUAACAACUUGUUUUGAUGCGGCUGAGGUGUGUUUUCCAGCACAUUCCGGAAGGCUCCUGCGUGGCGGUCGGUCAGUGGCGUUUGUCGAGGUGUCCGAGCAUCGACGUGUUUUGUUCACGCGGCGUGGGCGUGGAAGGCAGAGGUGAGCGUGUGUGUCGACAGCAGCUGGCCGUGCAAUUAAGAGGACCGUGUUGGUCAUGUGACCGUGUUGGUCAUGUGACGUACGUCCAGCCUGCGGUUUGAGCACGUUGUCGCUAAGCGUAGCUAGCGGAGGCAGAAGUGGUGACGCACUUUCUCUCUGGGCCGGACUUCUCCUCACCUCCUUUUGAUCUCCCCCACUUCCUCUCUCUCUCUCUCUCUCUCUCUGUGUCACGGGGCGAGGGAGCAGUGGGAGUGGCUAAAUGUCAAGAGGACGGGCGAGAUAAGCGAAAAGAGAGCGAGCUUGUUUACUUCUCCUGGACGGGAAGUUGCUGCGUCACACACCAUCUUCUUAUUGGGUGGGAGGGGCCACGCUGGCUUCCCUGGGUGCUUUGCGUAUCGCUGAUUGGCUGGCAAGCGCAAGCCCGGCUGCUGAUUGGUCCAGAAGUGUUUGUUGUUUGAAACCAGGGUUUUUGUGAUUGGAGGGACGCUCGCUCCUGUUUGUUUCUUUAGGACCACCUGAAGAAUGUUUGCCUUCGGUUCUCAGAGUCAAAAGUGAAAAUAUCUUCGACUCAUUUAUAUUGGGGGCCACAUGGCGAUAAUGGCUGCCCUCAGGGGGCCACAUGAAUAUAACAUUUUUGUUUUGUUUGAUUAUUAUAUUUUUUACAGAGUGAUGGACAAUUUGCUUUGAAAUCACGA